rnacentral:lncRNA from 1 species
AUCACUUGAUUGAUCCAAGUUACAAGAGGAUGGAUGACACGACAGGAGGCUGGAGACAAACAAGUGGCACCUCUGGCUGCGAGCGCUCACUGCCACUGCUGUCCACACAAAGGCAACCAGAGCUACCUCCCUCCUCCAUCCCCUUCUCACUCGUUUACAUCUCCUGUCAGGCUUUGGCAAAUUCCCUCAUCCUGUUAAUUUUCAGACACCGGUGAUAAUGGAUCGCUGCAAGAAUGGAUUCAUUUAUCCCAGGCUGUUUAAAGAUUUGAAAAGGUUGCACUUCAAAGUCAGGAAAAUGGGACACAGUGCAGGCUCUGGUUCUGCAGUCACGUCAGCAUCAUCAGUCCUUCUGUCUAGCAGUGCAGGCUUCAUCGCAGGAGGCCUAAAAGUUCACGUGCAGAAUUCUUGCAGGUUCAGUGCAACAGUCCUUUCCUGUUUUCUAAGAAGAACUGCUUUCCCCCCAGGCUGAUCAUGAGCCACCCCAACCAUGUGAUCCAAUGAGUAUAGUGACGAUGUUUCUGAGGCCUUCAGGUAAGGGCUCUGUUUCCUCCCUCCUUCACUUCUUUUCAUGGCAUGUGUUGUGGUAAAUGUUGG